CACAAGAGUCAAAGGAAGUUUAGAUUGGAGAUCCUAAAUGCUUCCCUGCUUCUCUUGUCCCUACAACCUGAAUUUCUGAAAUUGUGGCGAAAAUAAAACCAAAACAAUAAAACAAGUCCUGAGAAAUAUGAAAAUGAGAGCAUGAUAUCAGAAAGCUGUGAGAAAAUAACCAUGACAUGAUUGAACCCUGUGUGGAUUAAGCAAAGAAUACCUGUGAAGGACAACUGGGUCCCUGGAAGAAUGAAAAGAAACUUCAAAUGGGAAAUGUUUUUAAAAUCUUACUUCACACAUAAGAAUUCCUAAGGCAUCCAAUAGCAAACGUCCCUACUUGUUGCCCUUUAUGACUUCCUAUAUUUAUGCUCAUUCUCAAAGCUGCUUUUUAAAAGUAACUGGAGACUGUUAUUUGCAGCUUUCCAUCAGAAAAUGUCAGAAAAAAAGGCCAACACUAGGUCUUGGUCUGGGAAGCUCUAAACAUCAUAAAAACCAUGUUCCUCCCCUCCACAAAACUGCCUCCUCCAACAUGGACAACUCCUACCGCAGAGACUAUGGUAAAGAUGAAGAUAAAUAAUAAAACCAA